rnacentral:rRNA from 1 species
AUUGAACGCUGGCGGCAGGCCUAACACAUGCAAGUCGAGCGGCGGGGCGGACGGGUGAGUAAUGCCUAGGAAUCUGCCUGGUAGCGGGGGAUAACGUCCGGAAAUGGGCGCUAAUACCGCAUACUCUCGCAUGAGCCUAGGUCGGAUUAGCUAGUUGGUGGGGUAAAGGCGCACCCAGGCGACGAUCCGUAACUGGUCUGAGAGGAUGAUCAGUCACACUGGAACUGAGACACGGUCCAGACUCCUACGGGAGGCAGCAGUGGGGAAUAUUGGACAAUGGGCGAAAGCCUGAUCCAGCCAUGCCGCGUGUGUGAAGAAGGUCUUCGGAUUGUAAAGCACUUUAAGUUGGGAGGCGUUACCAGCAGAAUAAGCACCGGCUAACUUCGUGCCAGCAGCCGCGGUAAUAC